UUUUUGCGUAAAUCAAUGCACAUAAGUCUCUGGUACGCACGAAUAACAUCCAGUUCAUUAGCAGCUUUAAUAUUGUUUUGUCUGAACGACAAAAUCCUUGUCCGCGUAUCUUUUGCUUUUCUGACAGGAACAUGUUUCAAGUUCAUGUUAGAACAAUGGCCAGGUACAUGCCAGGUAGUAUGUCUAAGUCACUUUAUAAUUUGAGGAAUGAUAUAUCCCCUUCAUUGAAUUUAAGUGCAGCCAAGUAGCUUGAAAGUGCUACAAUUUCCUGUUCCACGUAUGUGGACAUUGGACAUCUUUCCCAUGUUACCCGUUCAGACACUCAUUCACAUUUUGCUUCAAACCGUGUGUACACAUUUCCAACAAGGCCAUAUUUUCGAAUGAUGAAAAGGUAUCGAUAUACUUUGAUGAUGCAGUAUCAGAAAUUGAUAAGGAAGAAGUCAUGAAAUCCUUCUUUGAUAGUUUACAAGACAUUACUCCGAUAGUAAAUGGGCUAGAAAUUAUCAAGUACACUUGCAAUGAUUGGAGAAAAAUAUUUUUGACCGAAAAAAAGAACAAAUUAGAACAUGAGACGUUGAUAUUCUUAAAUACAUUUUAUUGACAUAUAAUAUUUUUAAUUAAAAAAACUAGCAAUGACCACUCUGAAAUAAAAAGAAAUCAAUCUUACUGACUGUUAUUAUGUAUCAAUUUUCAAAAGAUAAAGAAUUAUAAAAAUACAUACUGAAAAAAUCUUCUAAGAAGCGAUCAACUUCUUCGUCAAAACAUCUAGAGUAUAAAGCAAUGGACAUUACAUAAAAAAACGACUACAACAUAUAGCAAGCAUAUAAAUUAUUUGACUUACAAGCAAAUAGGACAUUUGAAUGGCAAGCAUUCAAUCAGUCUUUCCUUCACCUCAGAGAGGUGGACUUUGUGCCCACAGCUUGGUGGGCAAAUCACCCAUAAGUGACAGUGUUCACACUGGCCUAAAACAAUGAACAAAAUCACAACUUAAAUUUUCUAAAGUCAUAUCUAACAUUGAAAUUGUAUUCCAAUUCAACUUACUCAAAAUCGGUCUAAUGGUGUUUUGUGUAGCCAUUGUAGCUGUUGGUUUUCUUUGCUGAUGCCUUCGCCGUUUACUGAUGACUUUGCCUGAGACUUUGACGUGAGUGCUUUUACAUAAACAAUAAACAUACCAAAUUGAUUUCGAAAUUUCUUAUAUUAAUUAUUUUGAAAAAACUAUCACCACGCAGAUUUUGUUUAUGCGUUUUUUUUUUCACCCAGCGCGUAAGGCAAUCGUUAAACUACUUUUCUUACAUUAGCAGUUACCAGUGAAAUUAAUUGGCGUUCUUGAGAUUGGUUUCUUUACGCAAUAAGUACUGAAUUUAGUACUUUUAUUUUAUGCUUGUACUGUUUUUAUUUUUCCAUAAAGGUUUAACACACAUAUGAUUUGGUGUAUGUAAACUGUAAGAAUGAUUUCAUAAGAAAAAUACUGAUUACGUUCCAUUUCAUAUACAGCGAUCUUGUACAUUGUUUUAUCCCCGGUUAAAUGUUUUAAAUGUAAAUGAAUGUAAAAUUUUAAAGCGACUAUGAGGAAAGACUUGUUAAAUUGUACAAGAAAUUUGCUUUAUUUAACAAAGUAGGUAUGGUCUUCUCUAUCGUCUUGACUCUGCAGCGUCGUGAUUCACUCGAUGCCGUACUUGCUGAUGUGUUCGCGAGUUCCUCAGUUCUCCUAUUCGACUCUAACACGCUCAGUGCUUCGUUGAUUUCGGCCAACGCAUCCCAGACUUCGCAGCUGUAUUCCGAUGACCCGUCAAUAUCUGCCUCAAUAUCUUCAUCUUUUUCCAGUAGUCCCUGAAUCUCCUCAUCUCACUUCGAAAUGGUCUCUAACUUUUGUACCAGUACGAGUCGCAUUUGUUCCAACUCUACCUUUCUUACUGGUAGAUCCCCGUUCACCAUACCUCGAACCUUAAUUUGUUCGUUAAUUUGAUUCUCCAUUACACCUCUACGAGGAUCGUAAAUAAAAGAAUCGAAUUUGAACUCUGGCAUAAAUCUCGCUGCAUACGAUAGAAACUUACUCACAUCUCUUAUCCCUAAAUUUUGUAUCAUGCGUUGCAAUUCCCCUGGAUUUUUAUUAGCAACAUGCACCCACCAGUCAUCUUCUCCAUACUUACUAUCACCACCACCUCUUUUACGCUUACAGCCGUCAUCUCGCCUCACAAUACGUUCCUCCAUCCCUUUCUUUACGUCUUGCUUAUUAGCGUGUGGCAGCCGCUCGGAUAUCUGAUCAUCACCAAAAAUCGAAGUAAUGUAACACGUCCUUCACAUUGUAUUUACGACUCUAUACUUUGAGGUUUGAUAAUCUGCUGACUCGACCAAGCAAUUUCUUUUUCUUUCUUCAUUUUACUCCAUACUCUGUUAGUGUUUGAAUCAGUGAACUUGCCGUCGCUGUAAUACACCAACAUAUGGAAAUGAUCUUUAGCUUUAUUGGCAAAUAGAUUUUGACAAACAGCUUUUUCGUGCUUCAUCACCACCACCAUUUGUACACUCGCAGUACCCUUUCGCACGAGUACCAUAAACUGGUUGAAUGCUUGCACCAUUUUCUCGGACUCUUCGAAAACGAAUCCAUGCACUUUACAAUCGUCUAAUUUAAACCGCCGACGAUUUCUUAUGAAUGCAGGCUGUUUUACGCAUUGAAUUCCAUCCCAAUUUGCUUCAUGACCUCGUCCGUCUGAAAAUGAGGAGAUGCCUUGAAAAGCGUGUCUAAGGAGACUGUUAUGAAAGAUUUUAUGAAAAGCAUUGAAGAUGUCGACCCACACGUUAACAGACUUGAGAUACUAAAAUAUACUUGUAAAGAUUGGCUUAAAAUAUUUGUUUCAGAUAAAAUAAACAAACUUAAAAAACGAGUCAUUCAACAUUUGUAAAUUUUUAUUGAUAUUGUUACAUUAAAUCUUCGUUGUCAAUGUUGAACGUCAAACAUGAUGCCCUCUGUACACAGUUUUCUGAAUGAAUGAAAUAAGAACCACUAUAUAAAAUUGCUGCUUCCGUAUGACAGUUUAUACCUCAAACAUAUAUAUAUAUUUAAUCUUUAUAUAAUAGCACACAGUAAGGUAUAAACACACCCAUGAAUUACAAACUUACAUCAAAAAUCGGCGAACAGCUACAUAGACACCUGCGUCCGAUACACUACAUGAAUGAAGAGUAAAAAUCAAUGACAUGAAACGCAACCUGAGAUUAAAAUAUCUUUAAAGGCAUACAAACCCGCAAAUUUUGCAUUGGAAUUUUCCCCGUGACUCCAUCAACGGGGACAGAUGGACAGUAUGACCACAUUUUGCUGGCGUGUAAAAGUCACGACAGCGAUUACAUUUUUCUUAAAAUGAGGAGAUAGAUUCUGUUGAAGAUAGAAAACAUUCGCUAAUUUGAAAUAAACAGAAAGAACUCGCACUUACUAAUUUCGGGGUAUUCGCUUGAUGUUGGCUGCGACGAUGCCAUUCUUCCAGACUUUACGACUUGCGUGUCUUGAUUUUUUGCAGAGUUUUUAUCGUCAUAACACAUACAAAACACUUUUAGUGUUUCAAGUGGUUGAAGUACACAGCGCAUGCGUUGUGAAAAGAAAAUUACCAUUGAACAGUGUGCCUUGAAUAUUGUGUUGUGGUUUCAUCUGGUCUUUUCCCCCAAAAGCUUUAUGAAUGUUUAAAAGUGUAGUUUUUGUGGCCAAAUCCUUUAAAGAUUCCAUACCGCUUGGAAACUUGUACCUGCAAGUGUAUGAAUGCGUAUGUGCAAUUCGAAAGGCCGAAAGCUCAUGAUUUCUCUCCUUUUAAAGUAUCGGACACUUGAUGAAUUGAAAUUUGCAUAAGAUUAAAUUCUAUUCAGACCACGUGUAAGUUGGGACGCGUUUAUUGUGUGGUUUCCACGCAAAAAAAACGUAUGCUUUUGAUGGUUCGGUUUUUGGCAGUUUUUCAUAAAGCUGAACAAGUUAUAAUUUUACGACAUUCUAUAUUUUUUAGAGUUUAGACGAUGGUCCAUAACGGCUAUUUUGCAUAUGGAUUAAUCAUACCAUACAGAAACGAUUGGAACUUAUCCAAAUACUUUCAUUUAAUGGCAUGUUAAUUGAAACACUGUAUGUAUACCUUCCGACGAUUGUCUAUGAUGUGCAAUGAUUGGAGAAAAAUAUUUUUUGCAGAAAAAAGAACAAAUUAGAACAUGAGACGUUGAUAUUCUUAAAUACAUUUUAUUGAAAUAAACAUUUUAUUUAAAGAAACUAGCAAUGACCACUCUGAAAUAAAAAGAAAUCUUACUGACUGUUAUACUGUAUCAAUUUUCAAAAGAUAAAGAAUUAUAAAAAUACAUACUGAAAAAAUCUCCUAAGAAGCGAUCUACUUCUUCGUCAAAACAUCUAGAGUAUAAAGCAAUGGACAUUACAUAAAAAAAACGACUACAACAUAUAGCAAGCAUAUAAAUUAUUUGACUUACAAGCAAAUAGGACAUUUGAAUGGCAAGCAUUCAUUCAGUCUUUCCUUCACCUCAGAGAGGUGGACUUUUUAUGCCCACAGCUUGGUGGGCAAAUCACCCAUAAGUGACAGUGUUCACACUGGCCUAAAACAAUGAACAAAAUCACAACUUAAAUUUUCUAAAGUCAUAUCUAACAUUGAAAUUGUAUUCCAAUUCAACUUACUCAAAAUCGGUCUAAUGGUGUUUUGUGUAGCCAUUUUAGCUGUUGGUUUUCUUUGCUGAUGCCUUCGCCGUUUACUGAUGACUUUGCCUGAGACUUUGACGUGAGUGCUUUUACAUAAACAAUAAACAUACCAAAUUUAUUUCGAAAUUUCUUAUAUUAAUUAUUUUGAAAAAACUAUCACCACGCAGAUUUUGUUUAUGCGUUUUUUUUUUCACCCAGCGCGUAAGGCAAUCGUUAAACUACUUUUCUUACAUUAGCAGUUUCCAGUGAAAUUAAUUGGCGUUCUUGAGAUUGGUUUCUUUACGCAAUAAGUACUGAAUUUAUUACUUUUAUUUUAUGCUUGUACUGUUUUUAUUUUUCCAUAAAGGUUUAACACACAUAUGAUUUGGUGUAUGUAAACUGCCAGUGAAAUUAAUUGGCGUUCUUGAAAUUGGUUUCUUUACGCAAUAAGUACUGAAUUUAGUACUUUUAUUUUAUGCCUCUAGUGUUUUUAUUUUUCCAUAAAGGUUUAACACACAUAUGAUUUGGUGUAUGUAAACUGUAAGAAUGAUUUCAUAAGAAAAAUACUGAUUACGUUCCAUUUCAUAUACAGCGAUCUUGUACAUUGUUUUAUCCCCGGUUAAAUGUUUUAAAUGUAAAUGAAUGUAAAAUUUUAAAGCGACUAUGAGGAAAGACUUGUUAAAUUGUACAAGAAAUUUGCUUUUGUUAACAAAGUAGGUAUCGUCUUCUGUCUUCAGCACUUUCCGUCGAUCCCGAACGUUUAGCUUUAUCUUUAAAUGCUAAAGCCUACAUCAACGUGCCAUUAUCCAUGCGAAAAAAUUUCAUAAAUUGAAGAUUGUCCUAAUGUUAUCACACCCAUACUCAAAAGAAAUCGAAGAAAAGUGUUCUUGAUCCUGCAAAACUAAUUCUCGCUACAUAUCCGGCAAUUUUUGUGUUGUUUUUUUGAUGAUACUAAAAUGAGUAGCGCAGCAACUUAAGCUAAGUUCUAAAAUAAUAAUGUGACCCGAUUUUGCCAAAACUUUAAAAAAAUAAUUUGUGCAUUUACUUUCGAAUCUUACCCUGCUUCAAUCCAGCAGGUUACCUAAGGACCGAAAUACUUUUCGAACAUUUGCGUUUCGAAUUUUGUGAAAUGUUAUAGAAGUCUCUUGUGUUCGAAGAAAUCACACUGUAAGAAAUGUGAAAACCAUGUUGCAUAAAUAGUUACAGCUACUUCCACAUCAAUUUAAGUUUCUUGCUAAAGUUAUGGAUAUUAAAACACAACAACAAACCAUAUAGGCACGUGCAUCUAAAAUGUACGUAAAUUUUAUUUAGUGUAUAGUUAUAGUUAACCGGGCCGUUGCGAAGGACAGGGUGUGCGGGCGUGUGACACACUCAAGUAAUAUUUUCGUUGAAACAUGUACGUAAGCGUGAAAAAAAACUAAAUCUUAUUUGUGUUGAAUAACCAUGUGGGUUUUGUUCUUUUCAGAAGACCACGCCGUAUAAGCACACCCAUUUUCGAAAACUUUGAUUUUCAACUCUUCGACACGGCCUUUGGUUAAGUCAUACUCAAGCGCUUUCGUAUUUCAUAAUUAAUCUAAACUUUGGUUUCUCAAUCCCAGGCUUUAUAUCGAAAACAAAAUGCCUUUGUUUCUUUCUUUCGCUUAUUUUUUAUUUGAAAUCAGAGUUAUUACUGUUUAGUUAAAGUGUGUGUUUUAUUGUUUUCAUUUUGUUUUGAAAUUUCAUGUUUCAUAUAAAUAAUAUGUGUUUGUCUAUAGUGUUAUUAGAUAUUGUAAAUGUAAAUGUCAUCAUCUCUUACACUUGCAUUGAAAGUUUCCAAUAAUGGGAAAGUGUAAAUUUUCAAUCUUUAUUUUGUCUUGCUUUUUUUGUAAAAAUAGGCUGCCAGCGUGGAUUCGAUAAGCUGCGUGAUUUUACCCCUUUCGGCAUUUGCUUUGUUGUACGACAUUGAUAAAGUAGGUCAGGUUAAUAUUUUUGUCAGGUAAAGUAAUCAGUGUAAUGGACGGUUAACCCCUUCAACAAAUAAAAAUGUUUUAGACAGUUGAUACCGAAGCGAAUCCACGUUUGAAGUCCAGCAUUGUAACACUGUAGAUAAAGUACUGUUUUUCAAAAAAUAUAUGUUUACAAAAAUA